rnacentral:rRNA from 1 species
UACGAAGGGUGCUAGCGUUGUUCGGAAUUACUGGGCGUAAAGCGCGCGUAGGCGGCUUCUCAAGUCAGGGGUGAAAUCCUUGGGCUCAACCCAAGAAUUGCCUUUGAAACUGUGAAGCUAGAGUGUCGGAGGGGAUAGCGGAAUUGCUAAUGUAGAGGUGAAAUUCGUAGAUAUUCGCAAGAACACCAGUGGCGAAGGCGGCUCACUGGCCCGGUACUGACGCUGAGGUGCGAAAGCGUGGGGAGCAAACAGG